CUGUGGUGGACCUCCCUGGGGCUGUGCCAGGCUGGCUCGACCAGCGCCGGUGUGGCUGAGGUGGAGAAGAGGCAGACUUCCCAAUGAGGGCAAGAAAGAAAUCCUGCCUGGCGAGGAACUUCAGCGACGAGGGCUUUCAACGGGAGAUGCUCUGUGGUGAUCAUCCUGCUCAACACUCGCAGAGACCAGGCACCGACACCAGAACCGCGCCGGGGCUGUCCUGCAAGCGCUGGUGGCAUCGCCUCACAGCUGGGGCUGCAGCCUCCCUCCAGGAUCGUGCCACACCAGCAGUUACAGGUUCAGCGCUGCAGCUGCCCUGCAGAAGUUGGUGGGACUCAAGAGCGGUCACUGAAGUUUUGUGGAAAUGUUCAGUGGAGAUUUUUGUGGCAGGUGUGAAAGCAAGCUGCCUUGCAGCUAACCCGGUGGUGCAGCCUAGAGAAAACAACUGGGAGGUGUCAUCUCUGGGAGCAGAGAGAGCAGCAAAUGGGCUGUGUGAAGGACAGAGAAAAAAGAAAGAAAGACCUCUUGCAAAUGAGAUGCCAACAGAAAAUAUGCUUUGGCAGCUGGAAAGGUGUAAUGAAAGCCUAGGCAAAAUAUAG
rnacentral:lncRNA from 1 species